rnacentral:rRNA from 1 species
CGUAAAGAGACUGCGGAGACUUAUCGAGUUUUGAAUGGGUUGGAGCUGGUCUCUUUACUGAGGCAUGUGCUUGCCCUGCUCAAUCCACUCUACACCUGUGCAUUUACUGUAGGCUUUGGAUGUUGGAAAGGCAAGCUUUGUGGCUUGUUUGGAAGCUUCUGGGGCUUAUGUUUAUUAUCAACCCUUUAUUAAAGUAUCAGAAUGUUUAUUAUGAUGUAACACACAUCUUUAUACAACUUUCAGCAACGGAUCUCUUGGUUCUCGCAUCGAUGAAGAACGCAGCGAAAUGCGAUAAGUAAUGUGAAUUGCAGAAUUCAGUGAAUCAUCGAAUUUUUGAACGCACCUUGCGCUCCUUGGUAUUCCGAGGAGCAUGCCUGUUUGAGUGUCAUGAAAUUCUCAACCUAACAAACCUUUGCGGGAUUUGUUUAGGAUUGGACUUGGAGGAUUUUGUUGGUUGUUGUUAUAUAACUGACUCCUCUUAAAUGUAUUAGCUUGAUUUCUUACUGAUCAGCUUUCGGUGUGAUAAAGUCUAUGCCGUUACUGUGAAGUGCUUUGGCAAGCUUCUAACUGUGAUCUUUAAUGAGACACUUUAUGAUCUCUUUGACCUCAAAUCAGGUAGGACUACCCGCUGAACUUAAGCAUAUCAAAAAGGCGGAGGAA